GUACGGAUGUUUUGUACAUGAUACAUUGUAAAUUUUUUUGGGCUAAAUUAUCAAAUUGGCAUUUUGGCAGGAGUCUAUUCAAAUUAUGGCCACAUUUGAUUGCCUCAUGAAGACUUAUGGGUUCCUGGCACCAGACUGCAAAGAGUACAUGAAUAUACUGCAAAGAGUUAAAGAAGAGAGGGAACUAAAAUAAA